rnacentral:tRNA from 1 species
AGGGAAAUAGCUCAGUGGUAGAGUGCCUGCCUAGUAUGCACGAGGUCCUGGGUUCAAUUCCCAGUACCUCCA